rnacentral:rRNA from 1 species
CCUACGGGCGGCAGCAGUGAGGAAUAUUGGUCAAUGGACGAGAGUCUGAACCAGCCAAGCAGCGUGAAGGAUGACUGCCCUCUGGGUUGUAAACUUCUUUUAUAUGGGAAUAAAAUGUUCCACGUGUGGGAUUUUGUAUGGACCAUAAGAAUAAGGAUCGGCUAACUCCGUGCCAGCAGCCGCGGUAAUACGGAGGAUCCGAGCGUUACCCGGAUUUAUUGGGUGUAAAGGGAGCGUAGGUGGAUUGUUAAGUCAGUUGUGAAAGUUUGCGGCUCAACCGUAGAAUUGCAGUUGAUACUGGCAGUCGUGAGUACAGUAGAGGUGGGCAGAAUUCGUGGUGUAGCGGUGAAAUGCUUAGAUAUGACGAAGAAUUCCGAUUGCGAAGGCAGUUCACUGGAAUUCAACUGACACUGAGGCGCGAAAGCGUGGGUAUCAAACAGGAUUAGAUACCCGUGUAGUC